UCCUUUAACAUGGUUCUUAACAGCUACAUCAUUUACAUGUAAUAAUGCCGUAGACUCUGGUCGAAGAAUAAUGUUCGAUCCACAGAACCCUGAGCAAAAGAGCUCCCAGGCUUUUAUUUUGCUGAUUGUGAGAAGGGUCACGUCAGUGUCCCAAACCUUAAAGGACAAUAUUUUUAUUGCUCAAGGAGGACCAUUACCAAGACAUUAAACUUCCACUUCCUUGAGUGGAAACGGUGGAAUAGGAGUUUUCUACUAUCUUCCCAUUGAAAAAAAAAUACCUAUUUUGGGAAUCACUCACAGACUAGAGUACCUUUGUGGAAGUCCAAGAGUCCAGCAGAGAAGUUCCAGCACGCUGUUGGGACAAAGCUACCUGAGAUUGGAAACACAGAAGAGGAUAAAAGGACUAGUUUCCUUUUACCAGCAUCUCUCCUCCCCCACAGCAGCACAGCUCGGUACCAAGAGAGAGUUCUUAGCCUGCUGUUUCUGCCACAUGGGAAAGUGAGUGUGUAGGUGAACAUCCAGCUGCCCCAGCCGUGCAGAACUCUGCCAGAGAGGCUCACUUCUUUCUCAUCCAGUCCAGAAUAAAGAUUGCUGCACAACUAGAGCUGAGUGGCUGGAAGAACCGCCAACAGGGUUCUUCAAGAGCAUCAAAGGGAUGUAGAUCCUACUAAGUACUUUGCAGAAUUCAUCAGGAAGCCUGCCCCAAAACCACUGGGGAUGACUAGCCUGUGGAUCGUCCAACAGGCCCACAGGAAAAGAAAAGUGAUAUUUCUUCAAGUGGCAGUGCAUGAAGCAAGAGCCAUGAAAAAAAAUUAAGAAACGCCCAAGUCAGCUUCUGGAACCUGCAAGGAACCACCCUUCUGUGAUCCUUACCUG